UACGUAGGGGGCGAGCGUUGUCCGGAUUUAUUGGGCGUAAAACGCUUGUAGGUGGCUACGUCAAGUCGGACGUGAAAUCUCCCGGCUUAACUGGGAGGGGUCGCUCGAUACUGGCGAGCUCGAGGCAGGUAGGGGGAAGCGGAAUUCCCGGUGUAGUGGUGGAAUUCGUAGAUAUCGGGAGGAACACCGGUGGCGAAGGCGGCAUCCUGGACCAAUAUUGACGCUGAGGAGCGAAAGCCAGGGGAGCAAACGGG
rnacentral:rRNA from 1 species